rnacentral:rRNA from 1 species
GACGAACGCUGGCGGCGUGCUUAACACAUGCGAGUCGAACGGAAAGGCCCUGCUUUUGUGGGGUGCUCGAGUGGUGAACGGGUGAGUAACACGUGAGUAACCUGCCCUUGACUUUGGGAUAACUUCAGGAAACUGGGGCUAAUACCGGAUAGGAGCUCCUGCUGCAUGGUGGGGGUUGGAAAGUUUCGGCGGUUGGGGAUGGACUCGCGGCUUAUCAGCUUGUUGGUGGGGUAGUGGCUUACCAAGGCUUUGACGGGUAGCCGGCCUGAGAGGGUGACCGGCCACAUUGGGACUGAGAUACGCCCCAGACUCCUACGGGAGGCAGCAGUGGGGAAUAUUGCACAAUGGGCGGAAGCCUGAUGCAGCAACGCCGCGUGCGGGAUGACGGCCUUCGGGUUGUAAACCGCUUUCGCCUGUGACGAAGCGUGAGUGACGGUAAUGGGUAAAGAAGCACCGGCUAACUACGUG